rnacentral:rRNA from 1 species
ACUACGGGUGGCUGCAGUGAGGAAUAUUGGUCAAUGGGCGGAAGCCUGAACCAGCCAAGUAGCGUGCAGGAUGACGGCCCUACGGGUUGUAAACUGCUUUUAUACGGGAAUAACGCGCCUUACGUGUAGGGCUUUGCAUGUACCGGAUGAAUAAGGACCGGCUAAUUCCGUGCCAGCAGCCGCGGUAAUACGGAAGGUCCGGGCGUUAUCCGGAUUUAUUGGGUUUAAGGGGAGCGUAGGCCGCAUGUCAAGCGUGCUGUGAAAUGUCCGGGCUCAACCCGGGCCUUGCAGCGCGAACUGGCGUGCUUGAGUCCGCGGAAAGCAGGCGGAAUUCGUCGUGUAGCGGUGAAAUGCUUAGAUAUGACGAAGAACCCCGAUUGCGAAGGCAGCUUGCUGCAGCGGAACUGACGCUGAUGCUCGAAAGCGCGGGUAUCGAACAGGAUUAGAUACCCGGGUAGUC